UAGUCCACGCCGUAAACGAUGAGAACUAGAUGUCGGAAGGGUUUAGCCUUUCGGUGUCGCAGCUAACGCGUUAAGUUCUCCGCCUGGGGAGUACGGUGGCAACACUAAAACUCAAAGGAAUUGACGGGGACCCGCACAAGCGGUGGAGCAUGUGGUUUAAUUCGAUGUAACGCGAAGAACCUUACCUGCCCUUGACAUUGACAGAACCCUUUAGAGAUAGAGGGGUGCUUCGGCCUGGAAAACAGGUGCUGCAUGGCUGUCAUCAGCUCGUGUCGUGAGAUGUUGGGUUAAGUCCCGCAACGAGCGCAACCCUCAUCCUUAGUUGCCAGCAUUUAGUUGGGCACUCUAAGGAAACUGCCGGUGAUAAGCCGGAGGAAGGUGGGGAUGACGUCAAGUCCUCAUGGCCCUUACAAGCUGGGCUACACACGUGCUACAAUGGCGAUGACAGUGAGCAGCUAACCCGCGAGGGCAAGCUAAUCUCUAAAAGUCGUCUCAGUUCGGAUUGUUCU
rnacentral:rRNA from 1 species